CGCCUGUUUAUCAAAAACAUGGCUAUUAUGAAAAUGUUUAUAGUCUAGCCUGCUCACUGAUAUAGAUAUUAAAUAGCCGCGGUAUCUUGACCGUGCAAAGGUAGCAUAAUCAUUAGUUUUUUAAUUGGAAACUUGUAUGAAUGGUUGGACAAAGAAGAAUCUGUCUCUUUUAUUAAGAUUGAAUUUAACUUUUAAGUGAAAAGGCUUAAAUUUUUCAAAGGGACGAUAAGACCCUAUAAAGCUUUAUAAAUUUAGAGAUUUUGUAUAUUUUUCUAUAGUAAUAAUUUCUUGAAAGUUUAUUUGGUUGGGGC
rnacentral:rRNA from 1 species